GAUGAACGCUAGCGGCAGGCCUAACACAUGCAAGUCGAGGGGCAGCACAGAAACAGCAAUGUUUUGGUGGCGACCGGCGGACGGGUGCGUAACGCGUAUGCAACCUACCUUUAACAGGGGGAUAACGGAGAGAAAUUUCCACUAAUACCCCAUAACAUCGAUCAAGGCAUCUUGAUUGGUUGAAAACUCCGGUGGUUAAAGAUGGGCAUGCGUUGUAUUAGGUAGUUGGUGAGGUAAUGGCUCAUCAAGCCUACGAUACAUGGGGGGACUGAGAGGUUAGCCCCCCACACUGGUACUGAGACACGGACCAGACUCCUACGGGAGGCAGCAGUGAGGAAUAUUGGUCAAUGGGGGCAACCCUGAACCAGCCAUGGCGCGUGCAGGAAGACGGCUCUAUGAGUUGUAAACUGCUUUUAAACAGGGAUAAAGCACAGUAUGUAUACUGUGUUGAAGGUACUGUAAGAAUAAGGAUCGGCUAACUCCGUGCCAGCCGCCGCAGUAA
rnacentral:rRNA from 1 species